rnacentral:rRNA from 1 species
GUCCACGCAGUAAACGAUGUACACUCGGUGUAGCGGAUAUUAAAAUCUGCUGCGCCCAAGCUAACGCAUUAAGUGUACCGCCUGGGGAGUACGGUCGCAAGACUAAAACUCAAAGGAAUUGACGGGGGCCCGCACAAGCGGUGGAGCAUGUGGUUUAAUUCGACGCAACGCGAAGAACCUUACCUGGGUUUGACAUCCUGUGAAUCUUGUAGAGAUAUGAGAGUGCCUUCGGGAGCACAGAGACAGGUGCUGCAUGGCUGUCGU